UACGGGGGGGGCAAGCGUUGUUCGGAAUUAUUGGGCGUAAAGGGCUCGUAGGCGGUUUGUCGCGUCGGGAGUGAAAACCAGGUGCUUAACACCUGGCUUGCUUUCGAUACGGGCAGACUAGAGGUAUUCAGGGGAGAACGGAAUUCCUGGUGUAGCGGUGAAAUGCGCAGAUAUCUGGAGGAAUACCGGUGGCGAAGGCGGCAUCCUGGACCGGCAUUGACGCUGAUGAGCGAAAGCCAGGGGAGCAAACGGG
rnacentral:rRNA from 1 species